rnacentral:rRNA from 1 species
UACGGGGGGAGCAAGCGUUGUUCGGAUUUACUGGGCGUAAAGGGCGCGUAGGCGGUCGUGACAAGUCACUUGUGAAAUCUCCGGGCUUAACUCGGAAAGGUCAAGUGAUACUGUCGGACUAGAGUACAGAAGGGGCAACUGGAAUUCUCGGUGUAGCGGUGAAAUGCGUAGAGAUCAGGAGGAACACCCGUGGCGAAGGCGGCCCUCUGGCGCGACCCUGACGCUGAGGCGCGAAAGCGUGGGGAGCGAACGGG